rnacentral:tRNA from 1 species
GCAUGUGACUUAGUGGUUAGGGUAUUUGGCUUAUGAUCAUAAGGUUGUGAGUUCAACUCCCAACGACAUGUU